GACGAACGCUGGCGGCGUGCUUAACACAUGCAAGUCGAACGGAAAGGCCCUGCUUGCCGGGUACUCGAGUGGCGAACGGGUGAGUAACACGUGGGUGAUCUGCCCUGCACUUCGGGAUAAGCUUGGGAAACUGGGUCUAAUACCGGAUAGGACCGCACUUUAGUGUGUGUGGUGGAAAGUUUUUUCGGUGUAGGAUGAGCUCGCGGCCUAUCAGCUUGUUGGUGGGGUAAUGGCCUACCAAGGCGGCGACGGGUAGCCGGCCUGUGAGGGUGUACGGCCACAUUGGGACUGAGGUACGGCCCAGACUCCGACGGGAGGCAGCAGGGGGGAAUAUUGCACAAGGGGCGCCAGCCUGAUGCAGCGACGCCGCGGGGGGGAUGAAGGCCUUCGGGUUGUAAACUCCUUUCGCUAGGGACGAAGCUUUUUGUGACGGUACCUAGAUAAGAAGCACCGGCUAACUACGUG
rnacentral:rRNA from 1 species